rfam:Brassica napus, WGS project CCCW01000000 data, contig: 4672
AAAGCCUCCGAAUAGUGAGAAGGUGCAAUAUUUGAAUACUUUCUGGUUCAGGCAGAGGCUUAUAUUAAAACUCGAAUCAGUUUUUGAGGGUGAAAAAAAGCUCUCUUUUUUGUACCCAUCAAACUUUUCACUCCUUAUUGGAUAGAUUCGAAGAUGU